rnacentral:rRNA from 1 species
GUCCAGACUCCUACGGGAGGCAGCAGUGGGGAAUAUUGCACAAUGGGGGAAACCCUGAUGCAGCGACGCCGCGUGAGUGAAGAAGUAUUUCGGUAUGUAAAGCUCUAUCAGCAGGGAAGAAAAUGACGGUACCUGACUAAGAAGCCCCGGCUAACUACGUGCCAGCAGCCGCGGUAAUACGUAGGGGGCAAGCGUUAUCCGGAUUUACUGGGUGUAAAGGGAGCGUAGACGGCAUGGCAAGUCAGAUGUGAAAGCCCGGGGCUCAACCCCGGGACUGCAUUUGAAACUGUCAGGCUGGAGUGCAGGAGAGGUAAGUGGAAUUCCUAGUGUAGCGGUGAAAUGCGUAGAUAUUAGGAGGAACACCAGUGGCGAAGGCGGCCUGCUGGGCCGCGACUGACGUUGAGGCUCGAAAGCGUGGGGAGCGAACAGGAUUAGAUCCCCCAGUA